rnacentral:rRNA from 1 species
UACGUAGGGAGCGAGCGUUGUCCGAAGUUACUGGGCGUAAAGCGCGCGUAGGCGGGCUGUUAAGUGAGAGGUGAAAGGCUGGGGCUUAACCCCAUGCAGUGCCUCUCAUACUGGCGGUCUUGAGUGCGGCAGGGAGAAGUGGAAUGGCUGGUGUAGCGGUGAAAUGCGUAGAUAUCGUAAGGAAGACCAGUGGCGAAGGCGGGUCUCUGGACAGUUCCUGACGCUGAGGCACGAAGGUCAGGGGAGCAAAUGGG